rnacentral:rRNA from 1 species
AUGAAGGUGAUCGCAUGGAAUUGUUGGGGGCUUGCGAACCCACCGGCAAUUCAGAGCCUUCUUGAGAUACAGAGGGCGGAAGAUCCUGAUAUUCUCUUUCUCUCUGAAACGAAGCUCAGGGAGAAGGAGAUUGAGUUCCUAUGGUGGCGUUUGAACAUGGUGAACAUGGUGGUGAAAGAUUGUGGGGGGAGUGGUGGUCUGGCUCUUUUUUGGCGAAAGGGAAUAGCUGUUGCACUUUGGUGGAAGGGGCGGUAUCACAUCGAUGCCGAUGUCCAGGGGGAGGAUGGAAACAAGUGGAGGCUCACUGGAAUCUACGGGGAGUCGAGGGCAGGGGAGAAGGAGAACACAUGGAAGCUACUGAGGACUUUGCAUGGACAAUCAAACCUUCCCUGGCUUUGCAUAGGGGAUUUUAACGAAGUAUUGUUUGCGGGCGAAAAGGAAGGGGGGCCGGCUCGGGCCCAAGGUUGUAUGGAGGCGUUCAGGCAGACUUUGGAACAUUGUGAGUUGGCUGACCUGGGAUAUGUGGGUGACCCGUUUACAUGGAGAAAUAACUGGAGGGUGGCUAGCGGAUAUACUAGAGAAAGGCUGGACCGGGCGGUGGCAAAUGUGAUUUGGCGCUACAUGUUCCCUCUUCACAAAAUCAUUAACAGGGACCCUUGA